rnacentral:rRNA from 1 species
UACAGAGGGUGCGAGCGUUAAUCGGAAUUACUGGGCGUAAAGCGUGCGCAGGCGGUGAUGUAAGACAGGUGUGAAAUCCCCGGGCUUAACCUGGGAACUGCAUUUGUGACUGCAUCGCUGGAGUGCGGCAGAGGGGGAUGGAAUUCCGCGUGUAGCAGUGAAAUGCGUAGAUAUGCGGAGGAACACCGAUGGCGAAGGCAAUCCCCUGGGCCUGCACUGACGCUCAUGCACGAAAGCGUGGGGAGCAAACAGGA